rnacentral:rRNA from 1 species
CCUACGGGCUGCACCAGUAGGGGAUCUUCCGCAAUGGACGAAAGUCUGACGGAGCAACGCCGCGUGAGUGAUGAAGGCUUUCGGGUCGUAAAACUCUGUUGUUAGGGAAGAACAAGUGCUAGUUGAAUAGGCUGGCACCUUGACGGUACCUAACCAGAAAGCCACGGCUAACUACGUGCCAGCAGCCGCGGUAAUACGUAGGUGGCAAGCGUUAUCCGGAAUUAUUGGGCGUAAAGCGCGCGCAGGUGGUUUCUUAAGUCUGAUGGGAAAGCCCACGGCUCAACCGUGGAGGGUCAUUGGAAACUGGGAGACUUGAGUGCAGAAGAGGAAAGUGGAAUUCCAUGUGUAGCGGUGAAAUGCGUAGAGAUAUGGAGGAACACCAGUGGCGAAGGCGGCCCCCUGGACGAAGACUGACGCUCAGGUGCGAAAGCGUGGGGAGCAAACAGGAUUAGAUACCCUUGUAGUC